AUGUCAUUUCAUGAUGAAAUUUUGCAGGCACUCAAAAGAUCUGUCAAAGUUGGAAAAAGAAUCAGAUUUUUUUAUAUUUUAUUUCAAUAUUUUUGUAUUUUACUGUUCAUCACGAGCUUGCGAGUAGAAGAUGACUUUCGGUUCAUGGGCAACUAUUUGCCAAAUUUACUUUCCGGUGUUUCCAUCUCCUACUCUCCAUAUAAUUCCACCCUUUUAGCACGUGUACUCCAUUCAAAAUACCUUUCUGUACGGUACAGAAUAUUUUUGUACAUCACCUUACUUCUCCAACAAUAUGAAAUGACACUCCUCUUGAUUUGA
rnacentral:rRNA from 1 species